rnacentral:lncRNA from 1 species
GUGUGUGUGUUCAUGAACGAGCAGGGAAAGCUCCCAUGGAGCCAAAACCCUAAACUUUAUCAAAAUCUCCAAAUUGAAAGGCUAAACGAAGCCCAAAUUCACAACCGAACUUGAAUUAACGAUCACCUUCACAAGGGGAUCAUAAGGAAUCAUGUCAAGAUGGAUGGGAGCGUUGAAGGCUAACGGGCUACGAAGACUCAAUCAAAUAAGCGAACGCAAAUACAGGCGCGCAAGAAUGAAAUAAGGAAUGCAGGUAUACUAGUGUUGGAAGUUGAAGGUAGGCGCCGAAAUCCAAUGCGGGUGGUUUGAACGGAUGGAUGAAUGGACUAACAUAAGCGAAAGCAUGAUAUGGUUGUACAGAACGGUGGAUUCUCAUCAUGAAGUGUAAAAGGUUGAAGAUCGAGUCAAGAGAUGGAUUGUACAUGUGGGUGCAUGGUCACGAAAAUUAAUAGUAGUAUGUCCGAUUUUUAUAAAUUUUUGGAAAGCAUUAAUGUAUUUAAUGUAAAAAGUGAUUUAAUGUAAUUCUAAGUAUGUUAGAAUGAAUAUGAUGAAAGAAAAUUUUUAAGUUCGUAUUUCCGCUGCAACUUUUGGUUAAAGCGUUUUAGGGCGUUACACAUGACAUAGACCAACCGAAAACGUACGUAAAUAUGAGCAAGAAACGUAUUAUGUUUGACCCACAUACAUAAAAAUAUACAUGUAAAACUCGAGGAGGUUAAAAUGACAUUUUAUAAAAUUUUUAGAAAGUUUAAUAGGAUGCAAGUAAAAAUAAUAAAAGUUGAGGGUUA